rnacentral:lncRNA from 1 species
GCUUUGCAGGCUGUUCUUGUGUUUGCAGUCCCUGUGUAUAGCCUUCUCAAAAUACAAACGGCAUAUUUUGAGGCGAGUGCUGACCUCACCUUGCAAAGCUCUCUGAAGUGUCUGAGCAGAGGGUCCACUCCUCCCCGGCAUACCUUUGCAGCAAUAUCCUGGCAGAUACUUUAUGUCAUGUUGCCAUGAACUGCAUUGUUCUGCCCCAAGCCCCAGGCUACUGGAAAAAAUGGUUGAAGACCUGAAAACUGUGACCCCUGUUGCCUAGCAACUGAGAAGCUCAGCCUCAACUCCGGGUGGGGGAGAUGAUGGAGAAAGGUACUGCAUUUUGAUAAAUUGAAGGUUUGUGGAACGCUGCAUUGAGCAAGUCUAUUGGUACCAUUUUCCAACAGCAUGUGCUCACUUCAUGUCUCUGUGCCACAUUUGGUUUUUGCAAUCUCCAGGAACGCCAGGCCACAUGAUUGAAACAGUUGUUCAAUUUUUCUUGCUGAAGAUGGUGAACUGGGUUAAGUUUAGAAACAACCAUAGCUGGAAAAAGUAUGACUUUGUUAGCUGCUUACUUCCUUUUCAGAGAAAAAAUACUUUUCUAGUUUCUUUCUUUAGUUACAAAAAUAAUAUGUGCUAAUUAUAACAAGCCAAUCAAUGGAGAGGCCUGCGGAUAUGAAGUUCAUAGUCAUUCAUUCACUCUUCUGCAGAGUGGCUCCCCAAGGCAGCCAACAUUGACAAGCAGGCUUGUGUGUUUCCACACUGUCUCUUGAGCGAGGCUUAUUUAGUCUACACUUGCCUCCUUUAAAGCUGUUCACAAGCAGAUGAGGAUCAAUCUCGGAUUCUAGAAGGAAGAACCCAGCCCCUACUGUUAGAAGGAGCAGUGAAGGCGGCAGGUCAAAGCACAGCCUGGAGCCGACUGUCUGUGUCCAAAUCCCACUUCACCACUUGCUGCAUAACUGGAGCAGAUGAUUCAGCUUUUCUCUGCCUUAACUGACUCAUGUAAAUGGGGAUAUUAAAAUAUCACAUAUGGAUUAUUAUAUUGACUAGGAAGUUAAUGCAAUACAGCAUGCAUAGCAGUUAGUAAGCACUCAAUAAAUGGUAGAUAUUAUUAUUUUCUCUCUUGUGGGAGCAACAAAAGUGAAAAGAAUGACCCUUUGGUAACUGGGGAUCUGAGUAUACACAGACUGUACCAAUCAUAACCACAAUCACCAAAAAAACUACAUUUGUGGAGGCUUAGUGUUAACACAGUCCCAAAACACUUCAUCUAUUGAUUCCCUUAUAUGGCUAGAAUUUAACAUUAAUUCUUUUUUCAUUUUUCAGGAAUAAUAAAGAACAUCAAUAAAAUUAUAGGCAUAAUUUUUAAACAAUUUUAUUGAAGAAUAAUUAUAUGUAAUAAAAUUCACUGGCCGGGUGCAGUGGCUCAUGCCUGUAAUCUCACCACUUUGGGAGGCCAAGGCGGGGGGAUUACUUGAGGCCAAAGUUUAAGACCAGCUUGGGCAAAAAAGCAAAAGCCUGUCUUUACUCUCUCUCUCUCUCUCUCUCUCCAUAUAUAUAUAUAUAUAUAUAUAUAUAUAUAUAUAUAUAUAUAUAUUUUUUUUUUUUUUUUUUUUUUUUUUUUUUAAAUAGCCAGGUGUAGUGGUGUGCGCCUCAAGUCCCAGCUACUUUCAAGGGGCUGAGGUAAGAGGAUUGCUUGAGCCCAGUAGUUGCAGGCUGCAAUGAGCUAUGAUCCCACCACUGUACUCCAGCCUGGGUGACAGAGUGAGACCUUGUCUCUAAAAAUAAAUAAAUAAGUAAAUACAAAUUUUUAAAAAUAAAAAUUCAUCCAUUUUAAGAAUACAAUUAAAUAAGUUUUAGUAAAUUUACCAAGCUGUGCAACCAUCACCACAACCCAGUUUCAGAACAUUUACAUCACCCUUGGAAGCUCCCUCAUGCCUGUUUACAGUUAACCCCAGUUCCUAUCCCCAGCUCUGGGCACCAUUAAUCUACUACUCUCUGUCUCUAUGACUUUGCUUUUUCUGGACACUUCAUAUAAAUGGAUUAUGCAGUAUGUGGCCUUUUGUAUCUGACUUAUUUCGUUAACAUAAUGUUUUAAAGAUCCAUCUACACUGAAGUACGUAUCAGUAUGUGUUCCUUUGUACUGAGGAACUGUAUUCCACUGUAUGGAUAUACCACAGUUUGUUCAUCCAUUCGACAAUGGAUGGACAGUUGGUUGUGUCCACUUUUUAGCUAUUAUGAAUAAUGUCACUAUGAACAUUUGUGUACAAGUUUUUGGGUGGACUUACGUUUUUAUUUCUCUUGGGUAGAUACAUAGAAGUGAAUAUAGUACAUUUAUAUUUAACUUUUUGAAACUAUUAAACUGUUUUCUACAGUGAUCGCACCAUUUUAUAUUCCCACCAGCAAUGUGUGAAGGUUCUACAGGUCUAAACUUAAAGGUCAAAAUAGAAAGAAGAUCUAAAAAUACAUGAAUUCAAGUGCUGAAUGUCCGUUCUCUGACACUGGUUAUCUUCUAAACUCCCCUUUAAUGAAAGGACAGGGAGAAUCCUUCCCCUGCCUUCCCCAGAUUCUCAUUUCCCAUAUUUUGCUGUUUGGCUAAGUGGGGGCUCCCUCACCUCAUUUAGUCCUGCUAAUUCAGGGAAAGCAACCCUGUGCUCCUCCACUCCUAGCAACCCUAAGAGGCUAUCUAAAGUGGAAAGAACAUUUUACAAAUGCAAAUUCAGUCCUUGGGUAUGGCAAGAGAAGAGUUAAUGCAGUUUGUAAUAAUUAUUGACUACAAGAACUGCAAAUGAUUGCAUAAAAUUUCUAAAAUAUGCCUGCAAGGUUCUCUUAUUGAUGUGUUGCCCCCAGGGGUACACAUAUGGGUUUAAGUGUCUAAACUGUUUUAUUAAUUAAAUUGCUAUGAUUUACCUCUCCCAUGUUAGCAUUUACAGUUUAUGAAACAGCCCUGUAAUUAGAAAAUGAUGUACUAGUGUUGCUUGUUUACUUUGUGGGUGAAAUAUUAUACACACACAGAUGUGUAUGUGUAUAUAUAUACACUCACUUAUAUAUGUUUAUAGACACACACAUGUGCACGCGCGCACACACACACACAAAGUGUUUUUUCUUGGGUCAACCCUCAUAGGCUACUUUAUUUCUAGUCCAAUUAAUAGGCAACCUCCAGUGGUGCAUUAAAUUGGUUUUUAGCGGGAGGGGGAGGAUAACUGAGAAGUUCAUUGUUCCUGCUGAGGUGUGUCAUGGCAUCCAUGUAUGUUUGUUUAUUUUCCCUCCAUAGACAGACAAUUGAAAUCACAAGAAUUUAUUGUAAAAAAAAAAAUCUGUUGAGAACAGCCCUGAGGAUACUUCAGCAAAUCCUAAAACUGUACCUACUUUAAUUAUACAGCAUCUUAUUAUCUUCUGCGUCCAUUCUGAAGGUAUAUGUAGGAAUAUAUAAUAUAAAUUACCUGUGCUACAUAGACAAUGCCUAAAUAAAGUUGUUGUUGAAGUGCUU